rnacentral:rRNA from 1 species
CCCUUAGAUGUUCUGGGCAGCACGCGCGCUACAAUGGUCUUCGCAAACGGAUGCAUUCUCGAAGGAGAAUGCCAAUCUUGGAAUCUAUGCCUUGGUCGGGACAGUUGCUUGCAAUUUUUCGACUCGAACCAGGAAUUCCUUGUAAUCGGGAUUCAUCACAUCACGAUGAAUACGUCCCUGCCCUUUGUACACACCGCCCGUCGCUCCUACCGAUCGAAGAGUUAGGUGAAUUGUUUUGAUCGAUAAGAUUUGACUAUGGUCAACUCUCGUUGUGAAAUUCUGUGAAUCUGACUGUUUAGAGGAAGGAAAAGUCGUAACA